rnacentral:rRNA from 1 species
UUUUAAUCUCCAUUUAACACCAAAUACACCUGUAGUUUUAAAAUUCAUUCAAAUAAGGUACAGCCUAUUUGAAACAGGAUACAACCUAUGACAUAGGGUAAUGUUUAAGCUAACGUGACUAAGUAGGCCUAAAAGCAGCCAUCUUUCAAAAAGCGUUACAGCUUUAUCACACUUCACCAUCAAUUCCAACUUAAACCCAAAUCCCCUCACCCACACUGAAUGACUCCAUACUUAUAUGGAAAACCUUAUGUUAGAACUAGUAACAAGAAUAACUAUUCUCCUACAAACGUAAGUAUAAGCCGGAACGAACCAUUCACCGGCACUUAUCGUCAAUGAGCCUAUAGUAGCAACCUCACAAGAAAACCCUACUUCUCAUAACGUUAACCUUACACUAGACCUUUUCUGGAAAGAUUAAAAAAAGGGGAAG